ACGAUGAAGUUCCGGUGCGGUUUUCGGGACUUCCGGCUUAUUCGGUAAUCGGUUUUGGGAAACCGGUCGUGGUUCUGGUGAGCGGGGGUUGUGAGUUAGCAUUACAUGUCAGUGGGUUAGACCUUAACCCGUUGGACCUUUCGUAGGUUCGGUCGCACCGUCUUCACAGUCGAGAGACCUUCGUCAGAUACGUACAGGUGACGUAGCCGGUCCGAGUGGGACAGCUGGUGAGGAACGGGUCUAGCAUACGAUAGAGCUUUCCGUCCCGUGGUUUGGUUUAUCUACCCUUACUCUUCAUGAUUAAAUAAAUAACUAACUUAGACAUAUUAUGGUUCAGUUUUAUUUUACUAUUUGGAUA